rnacentral:tRNA from 1 species
AGGGGUGUAGCCAAAUGGUAAGGCAUCGGUUUCUGGUACCGUGUAUUGUGGGUUCGAGUCCUUCCACCCCUG